CAAAUGGAAGGAAUGUUCUGUACAAUCUUCCAACGGAAAGAUAGAAUAAAUAAGUAACAAAGAAAUGAAUUUGAACCCUUUGUGAAAUUCUGUGUUUGAGAAAGGCUAUUGUGCAAUUAAAGCCUAAUCUGGAAACACCCUGAAAGGGGGCACCAAGCAGUGCCUACGAAAGAAAAAAAGUCCUUUGUUGAGGUAAUGCAUUUGGCCACAGGUUUGGGUCAGCUGUUAAGCAGAAAAAACAGACUUAUCUCAGAUUGGACACAGAAGUCAGGCCAGGCAGAAAUGCUGGGAAAUUCCCUUACUCCCCCUCCCUUCUGGCUAAGUUAGUUGUCAACAGGAAGGAGGAAAUAGUUCAGUUGCUCUACAGAAGAGCUACAGGAGCAAGCAGAGAUUCUGCAAAUGCAUGGCUUUGGGGAGGAGGGCAGAAGGAGCUCUGUGCAAACUGCAGACCUUUAUCGUUAACGAUUUUAAUUGUAUCCUUUUAAUACACAUUGCUUUGCAUGUGUUCAGUUGUCCAGUUGGAGCAUUUCAUGGAAAUUCCCACUGAACGGAUCCUGAAUGUAGUGAAAAUGAAACCAGCAGUUGGGGACGGGGGGGAGAAGGGUGAAUUAACAGCACUGAGGAACUGGAUUUCAUCUAGUUUUUGCCAAUUAAUUUACAAGUAAAAUCUGGCUCAGCGGUACAGUCUUGCAUUUCAUUUGAUUUGCUUUAAGAUGUCAGAAAUCGGCUUGGGCAUCUUUGGAGAAAAGAGGGUGCAAAUGAGCUGCCUGACCUGGAGAGAGUCUCAACAUCUUUUUUACAUCGUGGUGACCAAAACUGGAUGCAGUAUUCCAAGUGUGG